GCUGGAGUUCCAGAGCGGUCAAAUGGGCUGGACUUAAGAUCCAGUGGCUUAGUGCCUUCGCAGGUUCGAAUCCUGCCUCCAGCA
rnacentral:tRNA from 1 species